ensembl:lncRNA
AGCAAACAGGAUGUUUGCUUACACCUUCUCACAGCCACGUUUUGACAGCACGAAGGUUCGUUUCAGCUGAUUAUUUUGCCAAUGAUUCACUUUUCAGCACAGAGAAACACUUUACUGACUGUUGUAGUUUGAUUCUGAAUGUGACGAUGGUGAAGUUAAUGAGAUGUUUUCAUGAUUCCUGCAGCUGGUGGAGUUGAAGCUCCAACACAGGACCAUCUGUGAGGGGCUGGAGUCUGAGCACUGGUGGGUGCUCAGCAACGAAUUUUAUCAUCUGUUCGCGGAGCUUCCUCCUCAGCACUUCGCUACUGUGGCUGCUGUGGCCUGCAUCAAGGUAAAGCUGUAAUCUCAUUUGGACCGUAAGACCUUUGCUGCCAGAUUGCCCUGUUUAGAUGUUUUCAUCAACAUCUCAUCUGCUCAUUCAGCGUUUUGGAACAUCGAUCAGCGAGGCGACCUUCUACCUUCGCACUGAAUCAGUGGAGACAUCACUGCAGAAUGUUACUCUGCAAACCAAAGUGGGGAAGACACUGAAGAUGGUAUCCAUUGGUUCAGAUGGCUGUUUCAGGACUCACCAUUCCAGCAACACCCGGAUCCUUGAGACGCCAGCACCAUACAUGGUUUCUAGCAAACCACGAGGACCCCCACCAGGCUUCUAAUCACACUCUACACCUUAAUAUCAUACCUUUUUUAAGUUCAUUAUCAUAGUGAUUGUAGUUCUUAUAGUGGUAAUUAUAUCGUUUUUUUCUAUCAUUCUGUGUGUGUGUGUGUGUGUGUGUGUGUGUGUGUGUGUGUGUUUUCAGAUGCAGUUUUCUGUGUAACCAGGAGAGCCCCUGAAGAUUUAUCUCUGAGAGAAUGACGGUGGAUCAUCACAUCUUAUCAUCUCUAGACUGGAAACAUGGGUUCCAGUGCAUCAUUCCUCCUGGAUUCGAGGCUCUAGACAGCAGUGACUCCUACAUGUCAUCAAGAAACUGUGGACUUGUACGCCGGAUGUACGCUGAAGGAAGCCUUGACAAGAAGUGCAGCAAGACCUUUAGAGACUUCACCAUCAGCCAUCACUGGACUUUAUCUCCAGCGUUUAUGUUCAUCAGAAGCAGGAUCGCCUCUGGCAUCAUCAUUAUUGUCUUAGCCACAGACCCAGGACCAUUGGAGACAUCAGGACCCAUGAAGAGGAGAUCAGCGCCAUCAUCACCACUGGACAUUAUCAUCAGCAGAAGCUUCAUCACCGCUGCCAUCGUACACAUCAAGAUCUCAGUUAUCAUCAUCGUCUUAGCCAUGGACUGAGUCAGAAGAUGUUACUUCAUCUCAUCAUCAUGACAACAAGCUAGUCUCAACAGCAUAUAAUUAUCGUUAUUCCUGUUUGUAAAUUGUAUUUGUAGAGUAUUUAUAACAACUAUAACCCUAUGAAUAGUUUUCAAUAAAGCCUGAAUUUAUUUCAAUGUUACAAACAAAUAGAUUUGCUCUCAUUUUUACCUUCUGUGAAAAUUAUUCCUUGAAAAAUUCUCAUCAAAAAAAAGUUGUGAGGUGCAUUUUUAUACCUGCUAGAAUCUGAUCAAUGUGUUUAUAUUUGUUUUGUAGCUGCUAUAAAAGGUAUAAAUUCAUUUUAAACAAGACACAUUUUCAUGGUUUUCCUGGGGUCAAACCACCUGACUGACACCUGUGAC